rnacentral:rRNA from 1 species
UGAACCCGCUUCGGUGGGGGAUUAGUGGCGAACGGGUGAGUAACACGUGGGCAAUCUGCCCUUCACUCUGGGACAAGCCCUGGAAACGGGGUCUAAUACCGGAUAACACCGGCUUCCGCAUGGGAGCUGGUUGAAAGCUCCGGCGGUGAAGGAUGAGCCCGCGGCCUAUCAGCUUGUUGGUGGGGUGAUGGCCUACCAAGGCGACGACGGGUAGCCGGCCUGAGAGGGCGACCGGCCACACUGGGACUGAGACACGGCCCAGACUCCUACGGGAGGCAGCAGUGGGGAAUAUUGCACAAUGGGCGAAAGCCUGAUGCAGCGACGCCGCGUGAGGGAUGACGGCCUUCGGGUUGUAAACCUCUUUCAGCAGGGAAGAAGCGAAAGUGACGGUACCUGCAGAAGAAGCGCCGGCUAACUACGUGCCAGCAGCCGCGGUAAUACGUAGGGCGCAAGCGUUGUCCGGAAUUAUUGGGCGUAAAGAGCUCGUAGGCGGCUUGUCGCGUCGGAUGUGAAAGCCCGGGGCUUAACCCCGGGUCUGCAUUCGAUACGGGCAGGCUAGAGUGUGGUAGGGGAGAUCGGAAUUCCUGGUGUAGCGGUGAAAUGCGCAGAUAUCAGGAGGAACACCGGUGGCGAAGGCGGAUCUCUGGGCC